CAAAGGUGCCACCAGCCGCAGACGUUUCUGGCCAAAAAAUGGUACCCUAAAGAUGCUGUAACACCCACAAAGACAGAGAGAGGCCACCCCCUCCCCAGCUCAACAUGGGCCAGGAGUGACCCUCUGAGCAGCAUCUAUGAACAUUGUAGAAAACUGUGGUUGAGAUGGUGAAGCAGAGACAAAUUUUGGUUCUGACCAUAGACAACCCCUGAGGCCCCUCAAGGUCCCCUGCAGUGGCACUUACACACUCUGAUCUCACAUCAGCAAUAGACCAGGGGCCACACAAGCUGGGAACAUGAGGCUGUGCCAUACUCUGCCACAGGAGCCAGUUGCUGCCUCUCCCUGCGACCUGCACACAGCAUGCCCCAGCAGCUCCAAGGCCCAUGGCUACAUGCAGACAUGAUGAGCUCUGAGGAACUCAGAGAUCUUGGCACCUGUUGAAGACAUCUUGAAGGACCCCUGUGCCCAGCCUUGCCUAUACUCUAAGGUGCUCAGCUGUGUGCUUGUGGCAGCCACUUCAGGCCACCGGUGAGGGUGCCUGCUGGUUCCUCACCUGGCUGCAGCUGCUCAUCCACUCUUUAGAAUACGCCUACCACAGGAAGGGCAGAAGCGGGACCCUUUCCUGAGUCUUCCAGAUGAGCAAGAAGCACAGGCACCUCUGGUCCUUUGGGAAGACUUCAGUGGGUGCCUUAGGACCCCUGAAGAGAAAAACCAGCCUUCACAGGCUCAACCUUCCUUGUCCAGAAGGUCUCAGAUGUGCAUGAGUCCCCCAGGAGAAACCUCAAAGUAAUACAGAAGGCCCUGGACUGAACCUUGGGGCCCCUCCUCAGAGACCCAGGCCAGCUACCAGGCAGCUGCUGAGUUAGACCUGUUGGGGGAGUGCCUGGGCCUUUCUCUGGGGCAUGUGGGUCCAGGGAACCUCGUCUCUGCCACACACAUUGGAAGCAGCUUAUCGUGUAACAUGUUUUAUCCCCAAAAAGUUGUUCAUAAACUAGAUUUCUGUAAUGGGGAUCCCAGUUCACAGAUGUGUCAUUUUUAAUACCUGCAUUAGGGUCCAGUGGAAUGCUCUUACAAAGGGGGUGAUCAUGUGAGCCAUUGCCUGGUUCUGCUGGUGUUGGUUUGGGGACCCCAGAGCAGGCAGAGAAGGGUCUUGUGUUGAUGAGGAUAUGCAGGUCUCAUGGGAGAAAGUCAAGGCAGCAGCAACAUUGAGAAGCUGGCCCUAUACCUGGGCAGUAAGUGGCUGGGUCCACAAGAAUCAGCCCUGGCACUUCUGGUCUGA